rnacentral:rRNA from 1 species
UGGCUCAGGAUGAACGCUAGCUACAGGCUUAACACAUGCAAGUCGAGGGGCAUCAGGAAGAAAGCUUGCUUUCUUUGCUGGCGACCGGCGCACGGGUGAGUAACACGUAUCCAACCUGCCCUUUACUCGGGGAUAGCCUUUCGAAAGAAAGAUUAAUACCCGAUAGCAUAAUGAUUCCGCAUGGUUUCAUUAUUAAAGGAUUCCGGUAAAGGAUGGGGAUGCGUUCCAUUAGGUUGUUGGUGAGGUAACGGCCCACCAAGCCUUCGAUGGAUAGGGGUUCUGAGAGGAAGGUCCCCCACAUUGGAACUGAGACACGGUCCAAACUCCUACGGGAGGCAGCAGUGAGGAAUAUUGGUCAAUGGGCGCUAGCCUGAACCAGCCAAGUAGCGUGAAGGAUGAAGGCUCUAUGGGUCGUAAACUUCUUUUAUAUAAGAAUAAAGUGCAGUAUGUAUACUGUUUUGUAUGUAUUAUAUGAAUAAGGAUCGGCUAACUCCGUGCCAGCAGCCGCGGUAAUACGGAGGAUCCGAGCGUUAUCCGGAUUUAUUGGGUUUAAAGGGAGCGUAGGUGGACUGGUAAGUCAGUUGUGAAAGUUUGCGGCUCAACCGUAAAAUUGCAGUUGAUACUGUCAGUCUUGAGUACAGUAGAGGUGGGCGGAAUUCGUGGUGUAGCGGUGAAAUGCUUAGAUAUCACGAAGAACUCCGAUUGCGAAGGCAGCUCACUGGACUGCAACUGACACUGAUGCUCGAAAGUGUGGGUAUCAAACAGGAUUAGAUACCCUGGUAGUCCACACAGUAAACGAUGAAUACUCGCUGUUUGCGAUAUACAGUAAGCGGCCAAGCGAAAGCAUUAAGUAUUCCACCUGGGGAGUACGCCGGCAACGGUGAAACUCAAAGGAAUUGACGGGGGCCCGCACAAGCGGAGGAACAUGUGGUUUAAUUCGAUGAUACGCGAGGAACCUUACCCGGGCUUAAAUUGCAGUGGAAUGAUGUGGAAACAUGUCAGUGAGCAAUCACCGCUGUGAAGGUGCUGCAUGGUUGUCGUCAGCUCGUGCCGUGAGGUGUCGGCUUAAGUGCCAUAACGAGCGCAACCCUUAUCUUUAGUUACUAACAGGUUAUGCUGAGGACUCUAGAGAGACUGCCGUCGUAAGAUGUGAGGAAGGUGGGGAUGACGUCAAAUCAGCACGGCCCUUACGUCCGGGGCUACACACGUGUUACAAUGGGGGGUACAGAAGGCAGCUAGCGGGUGACCGUAUGCUAAUCCCAAAAUCCUCUCUCAGUUCGGAUCGAAGUCUGCAACCCGACUUCGUGAAGCUGGAUUCGCUAGUAAUCGCGCAUCAGCCACGGCGCGGUGAAUACGUUCCCGGGCCUUGUACACACCGCCCGUCAAGCCAUGGGAGCCGGGGGUACCUGAAGUACGUAACCGCAAGGAUCGUCCUAGGGUAAAACUGGUGA